rnacentral:rRNA from 1 species
GAUGAACGCUGGCGGCGUGCCUAAUACAUGCAAGUCGAGCGAACAGACGAGGAGCUUGCUCCUCUGAUGUUAGCGGCGGACGGGUGAGUAACACGUGGAUAACCUACCUAUAAGACUGGGAUAACUUCGGGAAACCGGAGCUAAUACCGGAUAACAUGUUGAACCGCAUGGUUCAACAGUGAAAGACGGUCUUGCUGUCACUUAUAGAUGGAUCCGCGCCGCAUUAGCUAGUUGGUAAGGUAACGGCUUACCAAGGCAACGAUGCGUAGCCGACCUGAGAGGGUGAUCGGCCACAUUGGAACUGAGACACGGUCCAGACUCCUACGGGAGGCAGCAGUAGGGAAUCUUCCGCAAUGGGCGAAAGCCUGACGGAGCAACGCCGCGUGAGUGAAGAAGGUCUUCGGAUCGUAAAACUCUGUUAUUAGGGAAGAACAAAUGUGUAAGUAACUAUGCACGUCUUGACGGUACCUAAUCAGAAAGCCACGGCUAACUACGUG